rnacentral:rRNA from 1 species
AGUGAACGCUGGCGGUAGGCCUAACACAUGCAAGUCGAACGGCAGCACAGUAAGAGCUUGCUCUUACGGGUGGCGAGUGGCGGACGGGUGAGGAAUACAUCGGAAUCUACUUUUUCGUGGGGGAUAACGUAGGGAAACUUACGCUAAUACCGCAUACGACCUACGGGUGAAAGCAGGGGAUCUUCGGACCUUGCGCGAUUGAAUGAGCCGAUGUCGGAUUAGCUAGUUGGCGGGGUAAAGGCCACCAAGGCGACGAUCCGUAGCUGGUCUGAGAGGAUGAUCAGCCACACUGGAACUGAGACACGGUCCAGACUCCUACGGGAGGCAGCAGUGGGGAAUAUUGGACAAUGGGCGCAAGCCUGAUCCAGCCAUACCGCGUGGGUGAAGAAGGCCUUCGGGUUGUAAAGCCCUUUUGUUGGGAAAGAUAAGCAGCAGGUUAAUACCCCGCUGUUCUGACGGUACCCAAAGAAUAAGCACCGGCUAACUUCGUG